GAUUAUAGCGAAGAGCCUUACCAAAUCUUGACAUCCUUUGAAAACUCUAGAGAUAGAGCCUUCCCCUUUGGGGGACAAAGUGACAGGUGGUGCAUGGUUGUCGUCAGCUCGUGUCGUGAGAUGUUGGGUUAAGUCCCGCAACGAGCGCAACCCUUAAGCUUAGUUGCCAUCAUUCAGUUGGGCACUCUAGGGAGACUGCCGGUGACAAACCGGAGGAAGGUGGGGAUGACGUCAAAUCAUCAUGCCCCUUAUGACUUGGGCUACACACGUGCUACAAUGGCCAGUACAAAGAGCAGCUAACCCGCGAGGUCACGCAAAUCUCUUAAAGUUUUUCUCAGUUCGGAUUGUAGUCUGCAACUCGCCUACAUGAAGUCGGAAUCGCUAGUAAUCGUAGAUCAGAAGCCGACGAUCC
rnacentral:rRNA from 1 species